rnacentral:rRNA from 1 species
CCUACGGGAGGCAGCAGUGGGGAAUAUUGGACAAUGGGCGAAAGCCUGAUCCAGCCAUGCCGCGUGUGUGAAGAAGGCCUUUUGGUUGUAAAGCACUUUAAGCGAGGAGGAGGCUAACGAGAUUAAUACUCUUGGAUAGUGGACGUUACUGGCAGAAUAAGCACCGGCUAACUCUGUGGCCAGCAGCCGCGGUAAU